ACCAGCUCCGAGAGCUCAGGGGAGGGCUUCGCAUCCGUUCAAGUGUGCAACCCGAGAGGCUGGAACAAUUAAAAGCCUCGCGUCCCCAGAUGGAAGCUGAAGAACGGGCAUUAUCUUCAGCCGCAGGGUCUCCUUUGCCACUUGAACUUCUCACUUGCUCAGCACCUAACCCAGACUCCCAACAGGUCACUUUUGAUGGACGAUUGAGUUUAAUAAUCCUUGUCAAGCCAGACACAGCAGACGUUGAACCUAAAUCGUCGCGCACCCGGAUCCACUAGAGGGCAGGUCUACACCUGCUGAGUUCCGCGUAUCCUGCAAAGAACUCAGGAGACAGGAAAAGAAACGUCCUUCCUUAUAUGCUUAGAGGUCGACGGAACCUCAGUUUGAGCUCUGGUCAACUCUGCUAUUUCCUGUCCAGACCUAUCCUUCGGACCAAAUAAUAGAGAAGAACACAUUUCCAGUUCACUGUAGACAUCACUGAACAGCUUCAUCAUUAGUCGGCCUCUGCAUGUUGACGAGAUGGCUGUGACAUACUCAGAGGAAGAGCAAAAGCUGCUUCUCUCCCAGACACACACCUUCAAGUCUCAUGGGCUCUGCUCUCAAGACAGCCUGGGGAGGUACCUGGUAUUAUGAGCCGUAUUUUACAGAUGAGGAAACCUGAAGUAAGUGAUUUCCGCAAGGACACAGCUAUAAGUGGCACACUCAAGGCAUUUAUCAAUAUCUGAC